CCCUUAGAUGUUCUGGGCUGCACGCGUGCUACACUGAUAUUGCCAAUAUGUCAUUCUUAUCCGAAAUGGAUUGGGUAAUCAAGUAAUGAAAUUUCAUGCUUGGAAUCGGUAAUUGCAAUUUUAUCGUGAACGAGGAAUUCCUAGUAAGCACUAGUCAUUAGCUAAUGUUGAUUAUGUCCCUGCCCUUUGUACACACCGCCCGUCGCUACUACUGAUUGGGUGUUCAAGUGAGAUGCUUAGACCCUUGUUGCAUGGUUCAUUAUUGUGCUCCGAAAGGAAAAAGUUUCAAGCUUGAGUGUCUAGAGGAAGUAAAAGUCGUAACA
rnacentral:rRNA from 1 species